rnacentral:rRNA from 1 species
GUGGAUUAGUUACCCGGGUAGUCCACGCCCUAAACGAUGUCAACUAGGUGUUGGGAGGGUUAAACCUUUUAGUGCCGUAGCUAACGCGUGAAGUUGACCGCCUGGGGAGUACGGCCGCAAGGCUAAAACUCAAAGGAAUUGACGGGGACCCGCACAAGCGGUGGAUGAUGUGGAUUAAUUCGAUGCAACGCGAAAAACCUUACCUACCCUUGACAUGUCAGGAAUCCUGGAGAGAUUUGGGAGUGCUCGCAAGAGAACCUGAACACAGGUGCUGCACGGCCGUCGCCAACU